AGAAUUUUAAUGGUCGAACAGACCAACCUUGAAGACUUCUGCAUCUUCUGGGUAUUCUGGUCCAACAUCGAGGUCACAAACCUUUUUUUCGAUUAGAACUCUCAAAAAAGAUAAUGCUGUUAUCCCUACGGUAACUAAUUCCUUUAAUCAUAUAUUGGAUCAAAACCCGUCAGUUAGUAAUAUUAAAGAAGCUUUGAUUGUUCCUUAGUCGCCCCAACCAAAAUAAUUAAUAAAUUGUUUUUAAAUAAUAUUAGUAUAAUUUAUUAGUUUUUUAAAGCUCGAUAGGGUCUUCUUGUCUUUUAAUUAUAUAUAGGCUUCUUCACCUAAAAAUAAAAUUUUAUAAAAUUAAUAAGAGACAGCUAUACUCUUGUCAAACCAUUCAUACCAGUCCUUAAUUAUAGAACAAAUUAUUAUGCUACCUUUGCACGGUCAAAAUACCGCGGCCGUUAAAUAUUCACCGGGCAGGCUAGACUCCAUAUACAUGUAAUUACCAUGGAGCC
rnacentral:rRNA from 1 species